GCAAAGCUAAUGAAUAUCACCAAGAGCAAUGGCCUUAUGCCUAAAAUUGAGAGUUAUGUGUCUCUGAACCACACAUUAGGAAAGUUGAUAUGAAGGAAAAUGCAUCUAGAUUCAGAGUACUAGUGCACAGUAAAUUCAGAAUGAAGAAGUACCUUGGGUAUGUUCAUACCCAAAUCCAAUUACUGCACUCCUCUGCCCAAACAAAUCAAGUCCAGGUGAAAUAUCAUGGUCAGAAUCUGGUAAUAUUCAGAGUGUUUUCUGGGUUCCUAAUCAUUGUGGAUCUUAUUUCACCAUGCACCAAAAUGUGCUUAGGUUCACCAGGCUCCAUGAACAAACAAGCAAAAGCACUUGGUGCAAGCUGAGAUAUUGGAAACCACUGUGAGGAGAUUCGUGCUGAAGGAGGCAGCUUUCUAUAAACAGGCUUUUGAAGUGAUAGGAGCGACAUCAUCCAUGAAUGCUAAACUCAUGCAAAAUGGUAGUUUUUCUUAACAGGUUGAGGGAAGUGUCUACUAUGCAUCACCCUACCACAGAAAGUCACAAUGUUCAGAUUGCACUCUUGCAGAGAAAAAGAUAGAGCCCACUGAAUGAUUGCCUUAAUUAAAUUAAUGAAAAUUAAGAAUAGCAUGUGUAUCUAUAUAAGACAUGUCCCAGAUUGUGAAAAUAUCCUUUGUAUUGCAUACAUGUAGCUAAUUAUUGUUUGCUUGCUUUUUUCUUCAGUGUGCGUUUAUUUCCAAUGAGUGCUUUUACCUAUUUCCACCUGUUUUACAUUAGUUAUUGUGCAGCUGAUGAACGCGUUGCAACACCUUGUCUGGCUACUUCAAGUCCUGCCAGGGAACAUGUACAGCUCAAGGAACCAUGCAAGCCCAUAAGCAGACAUCAGAGAUGUACUUGAUGCCAUGAAGGCAUGGGUGGCAAAGUCAAGGUCUUCAUGUUCUUCCUGAAGAUUUGAUUAAAGUUACACGAUUGCAGAAAUCAUGUGUUAGACGCUGGGCAAAUAAACAGGGCUGGCUGGAAGCCUGCUCAGCUGCCUUAUGGCAACGGCUAUGUUCAGUAGUGGAGGAAGACACACGAAGGCUCAAACCGCAGUGGUGUUUCUGAGUUGAUCCCUUCUCUAAUUUGUCCUUCCUGUAUCCUUGCAGCCCUCUUUGUGCCUGCCAUCAUGUGGAAGGUGCUUCAGAAGAGCUAGUAUUUAUGUUAUCCUGAGGCCCUAACCACCCAAAUCCCCCCCAUUGCUGAGUUCUACUACCCACUUUCUGGGUGAAGUGGAGCAACCUUUUUUGCACUACAAAUGAAGUAUCCAUAAGGACCAAAGUCGGGGUGGGAUUUUCCAGCAAAGAACAUGCUUCUCAUGUAUAGAAGAGAGCACAGAGACUUCUGUUCUGUGAGAUAAUUUUUCCUGGUACAUGGUGUAGAGUCAAGGCCGAUACUUCUCAGUGCUGGUGCUGGAUUUCCACUAAUUUUGCAUCAGGGUCUUCCUCUGAAUCCCCCGUGGGAGCUGUCUGGUACUGCUUAAAGGGAUGGUGUUUUUUGUAAUUAUUUAAUGAAUGUUCCAGGUUUUUAUCCUGUGCUUGUUAAACCUUCAUUCCAGUGAAAGUGUAAUCCCAUAUUACUGAAUUUGGAUAAAAAGUGAUCGAGAAUAAACAUUAAUUCCUCAGUAAAGACAUUGGAGUAAAUAUGAUUAGCCUAAUUUUAGUUUUUCUGGUUUGAAAAUAUAGACCCAAGUGCAGAACUGAGCAUUUUGAUUAGAUUAAAAACAUUUAAAAGUAACACAGCAUGCAAAGGGGGCCGUGAGUCUCCAUUAGACUUGUUAUGUUGGCUUAGAAACUUCAUGGGGUAUCUCUUUCUCCAGUGAAUUCUAGGAAAAAUCUCUGUUAAUUAUUAUCAGUUUCUUUCUUCAAUUCCAAUUUUUGAAUAUUUUUUUUUUUUUUGAAUAAGGAAGUGACAGUGAAUUGGAGCAUCUUUAAUUUAAACAAGUUUUUUUUAGCCCUUAGCUGAUGUUGUUGUAUGCUCUCUCCUUAAUCCCUCUGUGAGUUUCCUCCUGCUUUGUGAGACACAGGAGUCCCAACAUUAAAAAAAUAAAAUAAAAUAAAAUAAAAUAAAAUAUAAAAUAAAUAAAAUAAAAUAAAAUAAAUAAAAUAAAAAGUAAAAAAUAAAAAGAAAGCUGAAGCCUAUUUCAGGUUACUAUCUUCUUAUUCCUUCUUUCUAGUUCUCUUUACCUACACAGUCAGCCAUGAAUACUGCACCUUCAUUUAAAUUUUCAGCCAUUGAAUCAUGAUCACUUGAAGACCCAGGAACCCUGGAUGUAACUCAAGGGGUUAUGCUGUUUUUACUGUUUGGCACCUGCUCAGGAAAGGGAACUUAGCUUAGCAGUUAAAGCAUAUGGCAGGGGGAGAUAGCCCAGUAUCUUGGAUGGAGACGCAUAUAUUUUGUACUCUCAUGGUAUGAUGCAUUCUUGUGCUUUGCAGAUGGUGCUUCAGAAUUGUUGCUCUGAAAAGUAAUUUUGACCAGCCAUGCAGGUCUGCUGACACAAACACGAGGAUCAUCAGGUUCUGUGCAGACACUCCCGUGUGCUGCAGAUAUCCUAGCUAGGGA
ensembl:lncRNA